rnacentral:rRNA from 1 species
UACGUAGGGUGCGAGCGUUAAUCGGAAUUACUGGGCGUAAAGCGUGCGCAGGCGGUUUUGUAAGCCAGAUGUGAAAUCCCCGGGCUUAACCUGGGAAUGGCAUUUGGGACUGCAAGGCUCGAGUGCGGCAGAGGAGACUGGAAUUCCUGGUGUAGCAGUGAAAUGCGUAGAUAUCAGGAGGAACACCGAUGGCGAAGGCAGGUCUCUGGGCUGACACUAACGCUCAUGCACGAAAGCGUGGGGAGCAAACAGG